UUCAUGUGUACGUUGCCUUCUUGUUCUCUCAUUUACGGAAUUUGACGAGCUGUGACAUGUUUUCUCUUGGAAUCAGCUUAAAGCGCGCUAUCAGCUUCAGUCAUUUGCCAAAGCUCCGUGUUGGCCAUGGAACGCACAGCAGGAAAGGUUUCAAGGUGAAAAGGGCAAUUGCGGAGUUUCUUAGGCCUGAGAGCCUGUCACUGCUGUGUCCUUCCCCCUCUCUGCUGCUCCAGGAGGACACCCCGACACCCCUCCUCUUACCAGUUUGCAGCUUGCUCACCCACUUAUCUCACAUACCCGUGCGCUUUGGACAUGAGGAAGAGAUGGAGCAAGUGGAAGAAAAGGCUAAUGUUUUCUUCAAAUUCACAUAGAAACCAGGAGAAAAAGAUAAAAUGGCAGCAUUCUUAGAAGACAGCAAGGAAGCUGUUACGGAGGGCAGAGAGCUGAAAAGAAGUUUUUAAUGGUCAUAGGUGGAAGAAUAAUCAAUAACGACAUUGAAAAUCUAAAUCAUUGUUAUUUUUUCUAAAAUGAUCAAAAAAUGUAUCUGUUUAUUGAUUCAGUAAUAAAUUUGAAUAGAAGAGAAUUUGAUACUUAAGGACUUAGGCAGAGUUCUGUUGGGUAUUUAGGAAACUCCCUCAUCAACCAAAAACUGUCUUAGAAAUAGUACCUUUUGAUUUUGCUUCUUUUAAUUACAUGCUUAAACAAUGUUCUUUUUUGGUACUGGGAAUUGAACUCAGGGUCAUGCACUUUCCAGGCAGGCACUAUGCUGUUGAGCUACAUCUCCAGCCUAAACAAUGUUCCAGAACAUUAGAGAUGCAUAAAUGUAAGCCCUUAUGUGUAAAUGCGUAAAUCUGUACAAGACAAACUUAUAGAUUAUCGGUUCAUUAAAGAUUUUAGACAACAGUCAAUUUUAUGCCAUUAGUAAGAUGGGCUCAGUCCCUUAGAUAUACACAAGUGCUAAAUCCAAAUAUAGUAUAUUAUGAUUAUGUACUGAUACUCAAAUGAGCACACACACACACACACACACACACUAUAUAUAUAUAUAUAUAUAUAUAUGACUACAUCACUAGCUAUCUUUGCUGAAAAUUAAAUGGAAAAAAGACUAAUUGAAAAUUUUAGGAUAAGAGAGUUUGCAAUCUCAAAAUCUCCAAAAACACUGUCAGCAAAGAGAGUAAGCAAAAUAACCCAUCACCCAUAUAUUCUAUGAAAUUACAAGACAGGCGAAUUCUAUGUUCUUUAAAUUAUAGGAAGUAGGGAAAUAAGUACAGAAAACUAGCAGAUUCUGCUUCCAAAAUCAAAGUGAAGUAAACCAGUAUACAAAUAGGAGGUAGCACAUGUCCAUCACUGUAGACAUUGAUUAAACUUACUCACAGAAAAAAGAUUCCAUGUGAAUUAGGGCAACACUGGACUCAAGUGUCAGGACCCAGUGAUCAUACAACUUGAUAUUGUGAAUUUCAGUGAAAGUAACCAGCAAACAAAUGAAACAGAAACAGGGUACUGGGAAGACACAGUUUUUUAAUAGAUAGUGAACAUGGAACUAGGCAGCACAUAUGAGGGACACAUGAAGAAAAGACAGGAGGAGAAUUACAAAGUUGGAAGCUAUUCUAGGCCACUUCCAAAGGGUGUCACGUAUUAAAGGUUCUUCUCUUCACUGUGGCAGGAGGGAGAAGUACUGUUGAACUAAUAAUACGUCUUCUAAGCCACCCAAUAGUUCACUCUACCAAUACACUAUUGUUUGCUAAUACUUGCCCAGGAUAAUAUAAGACUCUAAAACUUAAUAAAAGAUGUCUAA